GUUUAAAGCCAUUGCAAUGCCUUCAAACGAUAGUACUGGAUAGUACUUAGGUGGGACCCUACCUAGGAAUACCAGGUGCUGUAAGCU
rnacentral:rRNA from 1 species